GCUCCCAAUUUCCUGUCCCGAAAAUAUGACAAACUAGAGCCCAGUUUAAAACCAGUAUUGGGUCCUUCUGGCUGCAGGUACUUCUGUAGCGUCGCCUCUUUUCUUGUUGCCAUCAGGACUUCACAGACAAACUCUCUGCUGUAGGUCUGGGUCUCAAUUUAAAUCCACAUCCCUGUAGCCCUGUACCCCCCGAAGGCCUCACUCCACUCAUGAGUAUUAAAAGCAGGAAUUCAUUUGUCCCCGCUGCAAUUAUUUCACUUAAUCUGUCGAUGAAAUCACGAAGCAUCCGCAGCAUACAAAAGCGUUUGUGCGUCGCUCUGCAGGGUGACCUAUAAUUGCACUGUGAAUGUGAAUCAGGGCCUCAUUAUACUCGGUGCGUGGACUGUCUGAGAGGUACAGGGAUGGAGUCGCUCAGAGCUGAAGGGGCACGUCCAUGGGGUGACCUUGCAGAUUUGGAUUGGCCACACAGAAUAUAUUUCAUUUCAGUAUUUUCUCUUUGCUCUGCAGAUCCAUCUCCAUGUGUGUUUGGUUUUGCGUCAUUUAUAGCGGUC